rnacentral:tRNA from 1 species
UUUUUUGUAGUAUAUAUUAAUUACGUUAGUUUUUCAAACUAAAGAAAGUCAUUUUGUCUCGGGCUUAGUGGGUAAUAAUU